rnacentral:rRNA from 1 species
CCUACGGGCGGCAGCAGUGAGGAAUAUUGGUCAAUGGACGAGAGUCUGAACCAGCCAAGCAGCGUGAAGGAUGACUGCCCUAUGGGUUGUAAACUUCUUUUAUAUGGGAAUAAAAUGUUCCACGUGUGGGAUUUUGUAUGUACCAUAUGAAUAAGCAUCGGCUAACUCCGUGCCAGCAGCCGCGGUAAUACGGAGGAUCCGAGCGUUAUCCGGAUUUAUUGGGUUUAAAGGGAGCGUAGGUGGAUUGUUAAGUCAGUUGUGAAAGUUUGCGGCUCAACCGUAAAAUUGCAGUUGAAACUGGCAGUCUUGAGUACAGUAGAGGGAGGCGGAAUUCGUGGUGUAGCGGUGAAAUGCUUAGAUAUCACGAAGAACUCCGAUUGCGAAGGCAGUUCACUGGACUGCAACUGACACUGAGGCUCGAAAGUGUGGGUAUCAAACAGGAUUAGAUACCCGUGUAGUC